rnacentral:rRNA from 1 species
GACGAACGCUGGCGGCGUGCUUAACACAUGCAAGUCGAACGGAAAGGCCCUGCUUUUGUGGGGUGCUCGAGUGGCGAACGGGUGAGUAACACGUGAGUAACCUGCCCUUGACUUUGGGAUAACUUCAGGAAACUGGGGCUAAUACCGGAUAGGAGCUCCUGCUGCAUGGUGGGGGUUGGAAAGUUUCGGCGGGUGGGGAUGGACUCGCGGCUUAUCAGCUGGUUGGUGGGGGAGUGGCUUACCAAGGGUUUGACGGGUAGCCGGCCUGAGAGGGUGACGGGCCACAUUGGGACUGAGAUACGGCCCAGACUCCUACGGGGGGCAGCAGUGGGGAAUAUUGCACAGUGGGCGGAAGCCUGAUGCAGCAACGCCGCGUGCGGGAUGACGGCCUUCGGGUUGUAAACCGCUUUCGCCUGUGACGAAGCGUGAGUGACGGUAAUGGGUAAAGAAGCACCGGCUAACUACGUG